rnacentral:misc_RNA from 1 species
UAAUGUGUCAGUAUAGCAUAUAAUGGUUAUGAAUGCAGACUGCCUUGUGGAGAACGCCGGCUGCACAAGACUCAAAACAAACAACAGCCUCAGCAAAUGAUAUUAUCAGAGUUGACAGACGGAGCGGAGCGCGCGUUAAAAGAAAACAAUGUGCAAUAAAUGAGGCACGACUGCUGCCAGCCAAGAGAGAGCGGUAAAACAAUAAAAAACAAAAGCGAAAAAAAAAAACGUGCAACUGAUAAGCAAUUUGAAGGUAGACAAAGCGACAAUAUUUAACCUGGUCACCUGGAGGCGAAUCAUUUGAGUUUCACACCUAGCGCGUUGCACGAAUCUGUCAGAGCGGAGGCAACUGAGUCUCUGUGUCUGCGUGGGUGUGUUUGUGUAUGUGUGCCUGUGCCACCUGUCGUCAUGUUGACACACACAACGCUGCUUAUCAAGCGCAGCAGCCAGUUGCUGCCACUUCUACUGCUGCUGCAGCUGCUGUUGGCGGCAUUGCGCUGUGAUGGCGCCACGGUCACCUGGGGGCAGGUAAACAAAUACGCCAGCACGCUGCAUGCACAAGAUGUUUACCUCGCGGAUGCGAAUGUGAAUGUCACGGAUGUUGUAUAUGGCACACAGAAUCCCGAAGCUGUCGAUGCCUAUACGAUUACGGCGGUCCACGCCUACGAUAUGACGCCGCCCGAGGGCGAUGGCGGGCGGGCGCAACUUUUGGGUGGCGGUGUGGGCCAACAGUAUGCCACGGUGCGUUUCCAGCGGCACAGAUCCGUGCCCGUGUUGCACUAUCAAUUGGUCAUUUAUGGUGUCGAAUUGUGAACGCGUCACAGGUGACAGCUGAGCUCACACGGACUGACGUUCUGUGUACUUUGCUGCUGCUGUGUGUUUUAUUAACAAUUUUGUUGUUUUUUUUUUUUUGUGUGUCUCACAACUUAAUUAACUUCUAAUUAAAGUUGGAAUUCGAAAUUUAACAUUGUGCGACGUCUUGACAGAAGCCGCGGAUGCUGCUGUUGCAGCUACUCGUAAUGAGAUGCAAAUGCGCCCACUCACAACCAACCCACACCCACCCACACAGCCUUACCCACAAAAGCAUCCUCCCAUCCGCACACACACUCACACACACACACACCUACACAGACAGCCGCUUAGCGGUUUGGUUUGCAGGCGUAAGUCGCUUUAAGCGCCUGAUAAAUGCAGCUUAAUUCGAAAACUACCUCCCUACCUCCCCCAGCAGCCCCACUUAAAGUACAAUAUGCACGUAAGAGGCUUUAGGCCGAUUAAGAAAUAAUAUAUCUAUAGUUGUGAGCAAUCGCAUCAUUCAAGAGCUGAUUUUGCGCUUUACUUUUACCUGUUCGACUUCAAUCAGGGCAAUUUCCAUCUGCCGAAUGGCUGUUUUUAUGCCUACAACUUCAUAAAGUAUUCAUAUAUGUCAUUAGUGACUGUGACUAGUAAGUCUAUAUGCAUUCAAUUAAUCCACUUUUACGUAAAAGCUAAGCCCCAAUAGAUAUUAAUUGAAUGACUCACACGUGCGUUAGUUUAUGCACGGUAAUCAAAACAAAACAAUUGCGUUUUCUAUAGAAAAUAAUUAAUUGCUUGAUCAGAGAGUUUUAUUAGAGUUUAAGCAAAACUACCAUUUUAUCUGAUUAGAAUAAACAAAUAUUGUAUUAUUAAUAUUGUCUUUGGCCUUUAAACAUCAUAUUAGGGCUGCAAACUACGAUAAUUUU